UCGUGCGAGAAAGUAUCUUCGGAUAUGAGUAGAGCGGCGGACGGGUGAGUAACGCGUAGGAAUCUACCUAGUAGAAGGGGAUAGCCCGGGGAAACCCGGAUUAAUACCGUAUACCUCCUUCGGGAGAAAGAAGGCCUCUCUUUGAAGCUUUCGCUACUAGAUGAGCCUGCGUAAGAUUAGCUUGUUGGUGAGGUAAAGGCUCACCAAGGCUACGAUCUUUAGCUGGUCUGAGAGGACGAUCAGCCACAUUGGGACUGAGACACGGCCCAGACUCCUACGGGAGGCAGCAGUGGGGAAUAUUGGACAAUGGGCGCAAGCCUGAUCCAGCCAUACCGCGUGUGUGAAGAAGGCCUUCGGGUUGUAAAGCACUUUAAGCAGGGAGAAAAAGUUAUAAGUUAAUACCUUAUAACCCUGAUGUUACCUGCAGAAUAAGCACCGG
rnacentral:rRNA from 1 species